rnacentral:rRNA from 1 species
GAUGAACGCUGGCGGCGUGCCUAAUACAUGCAAGUCGAGCGAACGGACGAUAAGCUUGCUUCUCUGAUGUUAGCGGCGGACGGGUGAGUAACACGUGGAUAACCUACCUAUAAGACUUGGAUAACUUCGGGAAACCGGAGCUAAUACCGGAUAAUAUUUUGAACCGCAUGGUUCAAAAGUGAAAGACGGUCUUGCUGUCACUUAUAGCUGGAUCCGCGCUGCAUUAGCUAGUUGGUAAGGUAACGGCUUACCAAGGCAACGAUGCAUAGCCGACCUGAGAGGGUGAUCAGCCACACUGGAACUGAGACACGGUCCAGACUCCUACGGGAGGCAGCAGUAGGGAAUAUUCCGCAAUGGGCGAAAGCCUGACGGAGCAACGCCGCGUGAGUGAUGAAGGUCUUCGGAUCGUAAAACUCUGUUAUUAGGGAAGAAAAUAUGUGUAAGUAACUGUGCACAUCUUGACGGUACCUAAUCAGAAAGCCACGGCUAACUACGUG